CAGUGUGGCCACCUAGGGUUUGGGUCACACAACUGUAAUCAUGGUGAAGACGCGGGUGUUGUCUGUUCAGCUUCGUCAGGUGGCAGCAACACCACAGCAGCACCACCAAUCUACUGGAAUAAUACAACAGAGACACGAGGACCAAUCUACCCAACAACCCCAUCGGUAGUUAACUCCACGCCAGGGUGGCAAGGGGCUAGGUCACAGUGGGUGGAGGUGGAACCGGAAGUGAUGUCAUAUCCUGGCCAGACGGUUAACCUGCGGUGUUCCUUCACAGGAACACUACA